rnacentral:rRNA from 1 species
AGUGAACGCUGGCGGUAGGCCUAACACAUGCAAGUCGAACGGCAGCACAGUAAGAGCUUGCUCUUACGGGUGGUGAGUGGCGGACGGGUGAGGAAUACAUCGGAAUCUACUUUUUCGUGGGGGAUAACGUAGGGAAACUUACGCUAAUACCGCAUACGACCUACGGGUGAAAGCAGGGGAUCUUCGGACCUUGCGCGAUUGAAUGAGCCGAUGUCGGAUUAGCUAGUUGGCGGGGUAAAGGCCCACCAAGGCGACGAUCCGUAGCUGGUCUGAGAGGAUGAUCAGCCACACUGGAACUGAGACACGGUCCAGACUCCUACGGGAGGCAGCAGUGGGGAAUAUUGGACAAUGGGCGCAAGCCUGAUCCAGCCAUACCGCGUGGGUGAAGAAGGCCUUCGGGUUGUAAAGCCCUUUUGUUGGGAAAGAAAAGCAGCAGGUUAACACCCCGCUGUUCUGACGGUACCCAAAGAAUAAGCACCGGCUAACUUCGUG